rnacentral:rRNA from 1 species
CCUAGACAGCCGGGAGGUGAGCUUAGAAGCAGCUACCCUCUAAGAAAAGCGUAACAGCUUACCGGCCGAGGUUCGGCGCGCUGAAAAUGAUCGGGGCUCAAGUCCACCACCGAGACCGAGCGACACCCGUCAGAGGGUGAUUCCGUAGGUUGGCAUACUGUUCGGGUGGAAGCACGGGAGAGAUCUCGUGUGGACCGUGCAGUAACGAAAAUUCUGGUCAUAGUAGCAGCGUUAGUCGGGUGAGAACCCCGACGGCCGAACGAGUAAGGGUUCCUCAGCAAUGCUGAUCAGCUGAGGGUUAGCCGGUCCUAAGUCUCACCGCAGUUCGAAUGAGACAAAAGGGAAAUAGGUUAAUAUUCCUAUGCCAGUGUGAAUUAGAAGUCGACGCUUUGGAGCCGCCCAGGCCGGGCACUCGCCCGGUGUAACCAUCGAAGUUCGUGGAAGCCGUAAUGGCAGGAAGCGGACGAAUGGUGGGAUGCCGCAAGCUGGGUCAAUCUGGAGCCCGUGAAAAGACGAUCACACUGUCCGUACCGAGAUCCGACACAGGUACUCGUGGCGGCGAAAGCCAAGGUCUGUCGGGAUCAACCGACGUUAGGGAAUUCGGCAAGUUAGUCCCGUACGUUCGCAAUAAGGGAUGCCUGCCUCGGAGAGAGGCAGGUCGCAGUGACUCGGGCGCUCCGACUGUCUAGUAACAACAUAGGUGACCGCAAAUCCGCAAGGACUCGUACGGUCACUGAAUCCUGCCCAGUGCGGGUAUCUGAACACUCAGUACAAUGAGACGAAGGACCCGUUAACGGCGGGGGUAACUAUGACCCUCUUAAGGUAGCGUAGUACCUUGCCGCUUUAGUAGCGGCUUGCAUGAAUGGAUCAACGAGAGCGCCACUGUCCCAACGUUGGGCCCGGUGAACUGUACAUUCCAGUGCGGAGUCUGGAGACCCCCAAGGGGAAGCGAAGACCCUAUAGAGCUUUACUGCAGGCUGUCGCUGAGACGUGGUCGCCAUUGUGCAGCAUAGGUAGGAGCCGUUACACAGGUACCCGCGCUAGCGGGCCACCGAGGCAUCAUUGAAAUACUACCCGAUGGUGACUGCGACUCUCACUCCUGGCGGAGGACACCGGUAGCCGGGCAGUUUGACUGGGGCGGUACGCGCUUGAAAAGAUAUCGAGCGCGCCCCAAGGUUUCCUCACUCGGGUCGGAGACCCGAGUAAGAGUGCAAGAGCAUAAGGAAGCCUGACAGUGUCGAGCACAACAAUCGACGCUGACGCGAAAGCGUGGUCUAGCGAACCAAUUAGCCUGCUUAAUGCGGGCAAUUGCUGACAGAAAAGCUACCUUAGGGAUAACAGAGUCGUCACCCGCAAGAGCACAUAUCGACCGGGUGGCUUGCUACCUCGAUGUCGGUUCCCUCCAUCCUGCCCGUGCAGAAGCGGGCAAGGGUGAGGUUGUUCGCCUAUUAAAGGAGGUCGUGAGCUGGGUUUAGACCGUCGUGAGACAGGUCGGCUGCUAUCUAUUGGGGGUGUUACGGUAUCUGACGAGAACGUUCGUAUAGUACGAGAGGAACUACGAAUGGGUGCCACUGGUGUACCAGUUGUUCGAGAGAGCACGUGCUGGGCAGCCACGCGCCACGGGGUAAGAGCUGAACGCAUCUAAGCUCGAAACCCACUUGAAAAAGAGAUACCAUCCGAGAUCACUCGUAGAAGACGAGUUCGAUAGACUCGGGGUGUACGCACCAAGGCAACGAGGUGUUGAGCCCGCGAGCACUAAUCGAUCGAGCCACCAUUCAUACGCAUUUGGAUCAUGUACGGACCCGGAGACGGGUCCAGGCGUGAACUGGACUAC